rnacentral:rRNA from 1 species
AACGCUAGCGGCAGGCUUAACACAUGCAAGUCGAGGGGUAACAGGGGAGCUUGCUUCCGCUGACGCCCGGCGACCGGGUGCGUUACGCGUAUAGAAUCUGCCUUGUACAGGAGGUUAGCCUUUUGAAAUAAAGAUUAAUACUCCAUAAUACUGNNAUGUGGCAUCACGAUUUAGUUAAACAUUUAUGGGUACAAGAUGACUAUGCGUCCUAUUAGCUAGAUGGUAAGGUAACGGCUUACCAUGGCAACGAUAGGUAGGGGGUCUGAGAGGAUUAUCCCCCACACUGGUACUGAGACACGGACCAGACUCCUACGGGAGGCAGCGGUGAGGAAUAUUGGUCAAUGGAGGCAACUCUGAACCAGCCAUGCCGCGUGCAGGAAGACUGCCCUAUGGGUUGUAAACUGCUUUUAUACAGGAAGAAACAGAUCUACGUGUAGGUCCUUGACGGUACUGUAAGAAUAAGCACCGGCUAACUCCGUGCCAGCAGCCGCGGUAAUAC